rnacentral:rRNA from 1 species
UUGGGAAUAUUGGACAAUGGAGGGAAACUCUGAUCCAGUGACGCCGCGUGAAGGAAGAAGGUCUUCGGAUUGUAAACUUAUUUUGUCAGGGAAGAAAAAAAUGACUGUACCUGAAGAAAAAGCACCGGCUAACUACGUGCC